UACGUAGGGUGCGAGCGUUGUCCGGAAUUAUUGGGCGUAAAGGGCUCGUAGGCGGUUUGUCGCGUCGGGAGUGAAAUCCACUGGCUUAACUGGUGGCUUGCUUUCGAUACGGGCAGACUGGAGGUAUGCAGGGGGAGAACGGAAUUCCUGGUGUAGCGGUGAAAUGCGCAGAUAUCAGGAGGAACACCGGUGGCGAAGGCGGUUCUCUGGGCAUGUCCUGACGCUGAGGAGCGAAAGUGUGGGGAGCGAACAAG
rnacentral:rRNA from 1 species